rnacentral:rRNA from 1 species
GUGGGGAAUUUUGGACAAUGGGCGCAAGCCUGAUCCAGCAAUGCCGCGUGCAGGAAGAAGGCCUUCGGGUUGUAAACUGCUUUUGUCAGGGAAGAAAUCUUCUGGGCUAAUACCCCGGGAGGAUGACGGUACCUGAAGAAUAAGCACCGGCUAACUACGUGCCAGCAGCCGCGGUAAUACGUAGGGUGCGAGCGUUAAUCGGAAUUACUGGGCGUAAAGCGUGCGCAGGCGGUUAUGUAAGACAGAUGUGAAAUCCCCGGGCUCAACCUGGGAACUGCAUUUGUGACUGCAUGACUGGAGUGCGGCAGAGGGGGAUGGAAUUCCGCGUGUAGCAGUGAAAUGCGUAGAUAUGCGGAGGAACACCGAUGGCGAAGGCAAUCCCCUGGGCCUGCACUGACGCUCAUGCACGAAAGCGUGGGGAGCAAACAGGAUUAGAAACCCGGGUAGUCC